CCAAUAGCGUAUAUUAAAGUUGUUGCAGUUAAAAAGCUCGUAGUUGAAUUUUGGAUUCUUCCAAUUGGUCCAUCUUUUAGAUGAGUACUGGUUGUGUGGGGUCUAUCCGCCUGGUAAUACGUAAUGUCCUUUAUUGGAUGUUGCGGGUAGUCAGGACCUUUACCUUGAAAAAAUUAGAGUGUUUAAAGCAGGCUUAUGCCGGAAUACAUUAGCAUGGAAUAAUAGAAUAGGACGAAGUUGUUUUAUUUUGUUGGUUUCUAGGACAACCGUAAUGAUUAAUAGGGAUAGUUGGGGGCAUUAGUAUUCAAUUGUCAGAGGUGAAAUUCUUGGAUUUAUUGAAGACUAACUACUGCGAAAGCAUUUGCCAAGGAUGUUUUCAUUAAUCAAGAACGAAAGUUAGGGGAUCGAAGACGAUCAGAUACCGUCGUAGUCUUAACCAUAAACUAUGCCGACUAGGGAUCGGGCGAUGUUGUUUCCAUGACUCGCUCGGCACCUUAUG
rnacentral:rRNA from 1 species